rnacentral:rRNA from 1 species
CAGAGAGGGUGAGAAUCCCGUCUUGGGCAGGGUGCCCGUGCCCGUGUGAAGCUCCUUCGACGAGUCGAGUUGUUUGGGAAUGCAGCUCAAAAUGGGUGGUAAAUUUCAUCUAAAGCUAAAUACCGGCCGGAGACCGAUAGCGCACAAGUAGAGUGAUCGAAAGAUGAAAAGCACUUUGAAAAGAGAGUUAAACAGCACGUGAAAUUGUUGAAAGGGAAGCGCUUGCAACCAGACUCGGCCUCGGGGUUCAGCCAGCAUUCGUGCUGGUGUACUUCCCCGGGGCCGGGCCAGCGUCGGUUUGGGCGGGCGGUCAAAGGCCCCAGGAAUGUAUCGUCCUCC